rnacentral:lncRNA from 1 species
AUGAGAUUAGACGCACCUAUGACUAGUACAAUGAGAUCAGAUGCACCCGCUUUUCGCCCGACAUUCAGUGCACCACCAUCUGAACAAUACUUAUCAACAAAGCAGGCUCCUACACGCAGGCGAGACCCCUCUCCAACGAGCGAGCCAGACAUCGCAGACUACUAUGAUCCGGAAAUGUUUCAAACCAGACGCAUGACUCGAUCAAUGUCUAUGUACUACCACCCGAAGAUUUACCCUCGGGAAUACCCUUGAGUCCCUUUCAUUAGUUUUUGUUCGUGUCUUGUUUACUGUGAUUGCAUUUUAUCUUCAAAUAUUUGUUACAAUUUACAUUUGCUGGAGGUCAGGUCCAU